CUUGCAUGAUGUAAAUACCUAAGUUUGUCAUACGUAGUAAAAACCAGUUCAAAUCUCGUGUUUCUUUGUCAAUCCUCAGGCCUGUUUACAUGGAGAGGUGGCGAAUACCUUAAAUGUUACGAUCCUCGUGCCAAGUAGGAUAGAUUAGGAGAGGUGGUACAAAUGCAUGUAGAUACCAAGACUUGCAUGAUGUAAAUAUUUAAGUAUGUCAUACAUAGUAAAACCAGUUCAAAUCUGAAAGCUAUCUCAUGUUUCUUUGUCAAUCUUCAGGCCUGUUCACACGGAGAGGUGGCGAAUACCUUAAUUGGUACGAUCCUCAUGUCAAGUGAGACAUGAGAGAUGGUAUAAAUGCAUGUAGAUACCAAGCUUUGCAUGAUGUAAAUUCUUAAGUUAAAUUCUUAACGUACAGUUAUGUCUCCUAAACUGCUCUCUAAAUUUUCAAAUAAUUUUACAUGCACAUCACCAUCAUGAGCGCAAGGAACACGUGCAUUUACAUGUUACUUUGACCUUCACCUUGACUUGAGAUACUUUUUAAAGUCAGUGUCUUCAGAAAAUAAGCAAUUUAGGUGCCAUACGAUAUGGAGGUAUUCAUCACCUUCAGUGAUAGCUCUAAUUAUUUAAAUUUUAAAGGUUUAAUGACUGAAAUUGAAUCAUUUGAUACCAUUAAUGGCAUAAAAAGUUUAUUCAAUGAGUACUGUCUUGUUCUUAUAAUGCGAUCUACUCUUGUCAAUACGAUUGCUGUAGAACUGAUUGGACCUACAUAUUUACAAUAGUUUAACUGUUGUUCUGUUUCCUUUUUACAGUCCCAAUAUUAUUGCACAUUCGGUAGCAAAGAUGUUGACACCACAUGUCGUCUGAUGAUGACUUUUACGGGAUGGAAUAAGGUUUGGUCAUUGUAUUCCCUGAAAGGAAUGAGAGGAGAAAAGUAACUGGAAGACCUGGCUAUCUGCAGGCCAAUGCUGGCUGCAGGUCAAUAUUGAGUAAGUUCAAUGCUCUUAUGAAAACUCAUGACAGUAACAAAAAAAAGAAGCUGAGGAUGCUGUUUUUAAAACAUGCUCCAUUCAAAAAAGGUGGAUUGAAAUUUAAGAAAGGUGUGACGGGUGCGUCUGCUGCAGGCAGGGGAUUUGACGGUCAGCCAGAGGAUUUGGAGAUAUAC